UAGCUUAGAACUCAUCUGCAACCACAGUAGGUAAUUUAAUCAAGUCAUUAAUGUCUAAGUUUGGAUUUGAAUGAAAAUAUACACUACAAGAAACACGGAAGAUAGCGGCAACAAAUUGCCUGCGAUUUUUCCAUGAGCUGCAAAUUGGCAACAUAGCGGCGGUUGACAUCCGAUCUCUUCAAUGUGACGCAGAAUCAAAUGGAUUAGCGUCGAAUCCAUGAAGCACCGCCACCAACCCCAACCCUUUAUCAUAUACUUGAUUACUUAGUGGUUGUGUUACCUAAUCUGAUCAGAUUACCCAAAAUCUAGAAAAUUAGGAACCUGCGAAAGGAGAGUGGAAGCACGCAAACCCCUCUUCUCUGCUCUGCCGUUUGCCGCUGUGUCACCUUGGAAUCACGUGGUUGCCAACCCAUCCUCCUCUCAGUGCCAUCGACCGUUCCCCUCUACUCUACAGUGCGUGAAACCCCUAAUCCUUUCUCCACGGUGUGCAAAACCCACCCCUGUUCUCUGCUCUACCGUGUGCGUCUGUGCCAUCUUUGAAUCGCGUGGUUGCCCAGACAUCCUCCUCUCACUGUCCUCGACCGUACCCCUCUCCACCACCCCUUACUCCCUCCUCUAUCAUGUGCGAUCUGAGCUAUCUCGGCCUCUCCCCUAGUUCGUUCUUCCAUCCAAUUUGUUCCCUAUUUUCAUCAAAAUUUUCUAUAUCUUCUCGGUUCAGAUUAUGCUUUUAGGUUAAUUUGAUUUAGAUUUUGUCUAUAUCUUCUAUUAAUUCAAGUUAAUUGUUGCUGUAUAGAGUUAAAGAAUUUGAAGGUACCACUAUUAUGUUUUUGGGUUGGUCUGAUGGAAUCAAAACAGUUCUCUGCGUUGUUUUAACAAUUGAUAUAAAGUAUUGACAUGUACCCUUUACCAUUCAACAGCUCCAAUUGAUGGGUUUCCACUUUCAAAUACUUAAUAGCUGAGCUGUGGAAUUGUGAAUAGUGUAAAGGGACAAAUUUUUUUACUCAAAAAUUAUCUAACAAUUUCUCUUAUUAUGGAAAAAUAAUAUGUGAUGACAAGUGAUGUGACUGGGAUUGUUGUGCAGAUCAUGGUUAAGAGUCAAGUUUUGGCUGGUGGAAUGGCUUGGGAACUUUUAAAAAUGGUCUUAAGGGUGGUGUACACAUUGUUAAGGCUGACCAUGUUGCAGAUAUUGCUGGUUUAUUUAUGUCAAAAACUGGCACUUGUGAAUGAGAUGUACUUUUCUAUAAUCCUAGAUCGUAAGUCUGCUGGUCCUCUUGUCAUUGCAUGUAGUAAGGGAGGAACCAGCAUUGAAGACCUUGCAUAGAAAUUCUCAGACAUGAUAAAAGUAAUACUCUGUGUGAUUUCACCAUAAAAUAUAUAGGUGCUACCGUGCUAGACAUGAAUUCCUCACCAGCCGAUUAUCAUUACUAUAUUUUGACAACACCGGGCUCUCUGUUUCGUCCUGUCUGCCAUAUUUUCUCUCCAUCUCUUCCUACAUUGUGCGUGGUUCAAAUCUACUAUAGUUAUAUAGGUUCCUGCCUCCAUCACCUCUAACCUUCAACGGUGCACACCCAUCGUAGGUUCAGAUCUGUUGGUGCAUCCUUUCUCCUACUUUUCUCAUUUACUUCUGGUUUAUUCUUUUUGGUUUGAUUUGUUCUGAAUUUUCUUUCUAUGAACUUUGAAAUUGAUUUUGCUUGUUUUUUUGUAUCCAUUAAUUGCUUUGCUUCAUCAAUGAAAGAAAAAAAUAAGAUCAAUAGGGACCAACUGUACGUGCAACAUUUUUCACAGAACUAUUAUAAUUACCAUAAGCUACAUUGAAGUUUGACAUAUGGGAUACAGCAGGACAAGAAAGAUACCAUAGUUUGGCUCCUAUAUACUUUCGUGGUGUAGCAGCAGUAAUUGUUAUUUAUGAUAUCUCAAGCAUUGUAAGAAUUUCAGCUUAGUUAAUUUUAAAAGAAUCCAACAAUUCUA